rnacentral:rRNA from 1 species
UACAGAGGGUGCAAGCGUUGUUCGGAAUUACUGGGCGUAAAGCGCGUGUAGGCGACGGCGUAAGUCGGGUGUGAAAUCCCUCAGCUCAACUGAGGAAGUGCAUUCGAUACUGUGUCGCUUGAAUGUCGGAGGGGAUGGCGGAAUUCCCGGUGUAGAGGUGAAAUUCGUAGAUAUCGGGAGGAACACCUGUGGCGAAGGCGGCCAUCUGGACGACGAUUGACGCUGAGACGCGAAAGCGUGGGUAGCAAACAGG